GGGGGCAGAGCCCCCCCAAUAAUCUCGGCGCCCCUCCAGCAGAGCGCCGCCGCCGCGCUGGCUCUGCCUGUCGACGCUUGGCGCGUCCGCGGCUUUUAUAGGGCGCCCGGCGCGCACCAGCUCGAUAACGGGCACCGGCGCGGCGGGGGGCGCCGGGCCGGGGGAGGGGGGCGGCCGGCCUGUCUCCUUGGCAACCCCAUUGAGCAGCGCCGGCUCCCCCGGGAGGGCCAUCCCCCCGCGCCGCCGAUCGCCAACACCGCCGACGCUGUGGCUGCCCGAGCCCGAGCCGAAGCCCGAGCCCGUCAGUCAGUCAGUCAGGAAGGAGAAAUGGGGAGGGAGACGAGGGAGGAAAAUUGCGCGCAGGGUGAAGAAAGGAGAAGGGCGAACGAGACGAGCUUCCAACCCAAAAAAGGGCUGGAAGACUGGGAGGAUGAAGGAUCAGGAAAGAAAGCGACGCCUUCCCUGCCCGCGACGUCGCCCGCUUGUCAUUGGCAGCACAGCGGGCGCCCAGAGGGGCUGGGCACCGGCGCAGGGCCGCUCCGCAGCCGCGGAGGACAGCUGCGCGGCUAGCAAGGUGCGCCGCGUAGAGCGCGGCCCUUGUGUGGCCCGGUGGCCAGGCAAGCUCGGGCGGGGACCCCCAUGCGAAUCUAAGAUGGGAGAAGAGGGCAGAGCAAAGGGGGUCCCUUCCCCAACCUCCGGCUCUGAGACUUCCCUGCACCCCAGAAAAGCGAAAGGAUUUUCCCUUUUUUUAUAUAUAAAUAUUUUAUUAAGUUUUCAAAUACAAAGUUAGAAACAUACACUGAAGAAAAAAGUAAAAGAACAAGAAAAAAAAAAGAAAAAGAAGAAAAGAAAACCAACCAUUCAACACAUUUUUUAUAUAACUAACUGGACUUCCUCGCAUCUCCCUUACCCUGCAUUCUUUAUAAUAAAGAUAUCAGCAAAUUAUUACCUUGUUUCGUACCUUAUUUUGUACUUUUCAAAUACUAUACCUCUAAAUUUAACAUACUUUUCAUCAGUUACUUAUAUCUUAAAUUAAACAUAGUAUUACCUUAGAUUUUGACCUUUUCUUACUUAAAAUAUAAUUUCCUGUUUCCCAAAUCUAAUUGCUGAA
rnacentral:lncRNA from 1 species